rnacentral:tRNA from 1 species
GUCCCCGUAGCUCAGCGGAAAGAGCGCCGACCUCCUACGUCGGGCGUCGCAGGUUCGAGUCCUGCCGGGGACA